CUGUGAUUUUUGGAGAGCAAAUGAUAAGCUAUGGAGUUUGUCACUUUCGAUGCACAGAAUGCUUAGGGCAGAUAGCUUUUCUUGCAGAAUUUUCUAGGCAGACAUCUCUAUUCAUGUUUGCUUCUCUAUCCUCUGUCUCCCCCAGGACCACUAAUUAAUCUCGAAUAAACAUCUCGGACACACAGAGUCACAACAAACUAUAUGCGCGAAAGAGAAAGAAAGAAUUUACCAGAAAAAAGACAGCACUCUCUGAUAUUUACUGUGAAGGUUCCCGAAACUGACAGAGGGAAGCCAACACAAAUGUGUCCUCCUCAAGAUCCACUAGACCCAAAUCCAUAAGAUAAUCACCUGCAAACUCAAUCAUGUGAAGCAUGGAUAGCGCAUGAAGCAGAAAGUGGCGUGCACGCUAAAAUACACAAUGGUACGUAUGUACAGAUCAAAAGAAGAAAGAACACACUAACACUUAAGAAAAUGAAGAGAAACAGGAGCGAAGGCACUCUAUGACUGAGUGUGCUGGACUGUAAACAAAAGACGGUGGCCUUCUGGCUAUUACCAGCCAAAGGGGAUGUUAUACAUGACAUCACUCCUAGGACGAGUCCCAUAGGAGUAUGAGCUUGGCAGGAUUGCUUCACGACACUGCCAUCUCCGACCUCAUAUUUUCCCCAAUUUUAUCGGCAGUUAGAUUAUUUAUUUAUUUUAAAAAAUUAUGAAGGCACGGUCAGAAUUUUACCAGUAGCGGCUGACCAACAAAACGCUGCCUUAGGAGGCUGAUAGCAGACUUACUUGCAGAACUACUAAUUUUACAAGUGCAAUUAUCUUUUUUUUCCAAGCCCUGGCCUCCCGCCUGUCAAUAAUGAACAAUUAGUGAAGCGUAAUGGUAGGGUAAAGGUAUUUGUGUAGCCAGAUGUGUAUAUUUUUGUCAUAUUUGAACAAAAAUGACUAUAUUUAGAAAGAAUCUUCUUUUCCCAUAUCUCCUUUAUUUAUCAACCAAUUUUGAUAAAAUUUGAAUCAUGCUUCACAUGAUUGAGACAUUUUUUUCUUUUUUAGAGGCCCCUCAUACUGCGAGGCCCUAAAUUGUAGCUUAGUUAUUUUAUGCCUUAAUCCGGCCUUCUCUGAAGGUCUUGGGAUUUUGGAUAGAAUGAGAUGAACAGGGUACAAGUGGCAUGUGUACUCCAUAUAUGCUUGAGAUAUAUCUUUAGAGCACUAGAAAUGCCCAUUUAUGGCACAACUUUCCAAAGGAGCUCUAAAGGUUAGAACAAAAUGAUGGAAGAACUAUGACCAAGGAAUUGUGGAAAGAGAAAUUUAUCUUGAACAGAAAGAUUUCUGGAGCUAUAAGAAUAGCCUUUUCCUCAACAACAGCACUGUGGUUUUCAUACAGGGGAACCCAUUCAAAAACCUACUUUUCUGAGGUAAUGGUGCCUAGAAAGGCCAGCUAUUGGUUUGUCUAACAGGUCUUUCUGAUUAAUCUUGGCAUCUGAUGAUACCCAAAUGGAGAAGCCAAUGUGCCUCCCUACAGAAUGCCUCUAUGACCAGUACUCAUGUUUCUAUGGUGCUUAGUUGUACAACUCCAACCAUCCUGGAGAAUCUCUAGUAUAGCUGAGACUACCAGAACUUUGUGAUUGUCAUUAUACUUGUGUAAGCAGAGUCAGGAUGAGCUCCACCCUGACAUCUGGUGGUGAGUUGUGGCAAGCUGUGGAAAAGAACUUCAGGGGCUGAUCUUAUUUACAUAGGCACACCCAC